rnacentral:rRNA from 1 species
CUACCUUAGAGCGGUUUCUUCCCGUAUAAAAGCAUUUUACAACCCAUAGGGCAGUCUUCCUGCACGCGGCAUGGCUGGAUCAGAGUUGCCACCGUUGCCCAAUAUUCCUCACUGCUGCCUCCCGUAGGAGUCCCCCCGUGCCCCCCCCCCGCCCGCCGCGCGCGGCGG